UGUGGUGUGCGAGAGUGAGGGAGAGCGGGGGUGGGGAGGAAAGAAGGAAGGAAGAGAAAGGAAGGAAGAAAGAGAGGAGUGGGUGCGGGCGGUGCUGGGCGCUCCUGGCUCUGGAGCAGCGGCUGCGGAGGGCUGGGCGAGGGGGAAGCCAGAGAGAGAGGGAGUUACCCCGGGGUGAAUGUGGGGAGAGCGCGCCUGUGCCGAGCCAGCCGAGGGCUGGGGAAGGUGGCCGGGGCAGCCUGCCUGCCUGCUAGCCCUGCGGGAGAGGCUGUGCCCCUGAACUCUUCGCUGGGGAAGAGAAGAAAGCUGGAACUAAUGGAGAAACUUCAAAUGAAGAAACACCAUCCCACCCCAAGCCUGUUAUCUCUGCGGCAACCCGGGAUGACUGAUGCAGCCUCCACUGGACAGAAUUCUCGCAGAAGGCCUCACCUCCAAGGGUGUCUCUGCUGACUCUCUCAUCCUUCCCACUUUGGAUCUCAGGUGCCUAAACUUGAAGCAAGUCUUUGGGGACAGAAACGGCUCUUCCUUUCUAGUACACCUCUGAUUAUUGGAUGCUGGAGACAAACGAUUCCCACAGUGAAUUGUCAGCUUGUUUGUCAGCUUCAUAGUGGGGAUAUCUGGCUGGAGCUUUUGGAGGGUGAAAUGCUAGACUAGAUAGUCUGAUCUGAUCAGGCAGUUCCUUUGUUCCAAGCAAGCUUGAGGACUAGCACUUUUCAGAAGUGAACCACUGGUUGACAUUCACUGAAAGGAUUCUACUUGAUAGACUUAAUCCUUGGUGAAGAUCUCAUCUUGUAUCUUCUUGCAAGUAUUAUCAAGGAAGCCCCCUUCUUGCUGCUCCCUCAAGUUAACUUUCCCCCCACUAUGCAGGAGCGAGAUGCUUUCUUUAACUCUGCAAAUUACAUGGUGAAAUGAAUGCUAAUCAUGUCAGAUUAGUGAAAUCCUAUUAAAAUUAAUUAAUCUGGUAAAAUUAAAUUUCUUUACUUUCAGUAGCAGGCCUCUGCACCUUUAAGGAGGAAAUAAAACAAAAUCUGUAAACAAAAUUAGCAGGCACAAUUAAGUGCAAAUGAGCUGUGCUUGAUACUCAGAUAGCCAGUGCUUCGUUUCUAAAAUGAAGCAAGUUGCUCUGCUUGUAAGCCAUGGCCUGAUCUCAGACCUGGCUGGGAGCCCCACUCCCUAACCCCAGGCCAGUGCAACAUGUUUGUGCUUUCUCAGUGGUGAAGGGACAACACUUUGUACCAGGAAUGCCAUUUAAGACUUCAGUGAUGGGGUUGGAGAGAAGGGCAAGAUUCAGCAAGCACAUUCAAAUACAUGCAAGGUAAAACUGCAAAAAGCAGGUGUAUUUGAAAGCAUUUGUUGUGGUUAUUUUCACAGCAAAUGUUUUUAAUCAAUUUUAUUCCUCAUCAUAAUUAGGCUAUUGUUAUUAGGGCAAGCAGAUAGGCACUUAAAAAAAACACCCCAGAAAACAACAGCAAAAAAGCAGUUUGCACUGUUGGCAUGCAACAUCAGCCCAUUUCAUCUAUAAGAACCACCACAUAGUGCACAGAACGUGUUCACUGAGCAGAGUUAUAGAUGCUCCUGAGAUAUGUUCAUAUAUUGAUCAGUGGACACAGCCACCCCUCCUUUCCUCCCUAUAUGGAGCUUCUUUUCCGUUUAUGGGCAGAAACAGUGCUAUUCUUGCUGACAUCCAGGGCCAAGUCUUGGCACUAUAAAGAAGCUCCUGGACCCAGCUUUGGUGAAGCCUGACUUACAUCCUAUGGCGGAUUAACGUAGUAGCAACUGUAGCAUUUGCUAUGGACCCCAUGUUUCCGAGGGCCCCACACGCCCGGCUUCCAACUGGGAAUUAAAGUUAAAACUUUACCUGUUUUAUUUGGUCCACGUUAGAUAAAAUAUCCCUUUUCUGCUACAUGUGCCUUUUAAGAGAAGGCCCAGCACAGCAUCUGUCCAGUGGCUGUUGCUGGUGCCUACCACAUUUUUCUUUUUAGAGUGUGAGCCCUUUGGAGACAGAGAAUCAUCUAUCCACUCUUCAUUUUUCUAUGUAAACCACUUCGAGAAUUUUGAUUGAAAAACAGUAUUAAAAUGUUCACUGUUGUAGUAGUAAGUGUGAGUUUGUGGCUUGGUCUCCCACAUUCCAAAAUAUAGCAAAUGAAAAAACUGAAUUACUUUACUAUGCAAGUAAAUAAUUUAUGUUUUAAUAUUUAUAUGCAUUUUUAAAAAAUUUAGGGCCCCUUUAUAACAUAUGCUACAGGCCCUGCACUAGCUUAAUCCGGCCCUGCUUACAUUAAACCUUACAGUAAGAAUACACACACACACACACACACACACACCCAUUGUCUGAAGUUAAAAAUAUCACUUGUGGUAUCAUCUUUCCACUGUCUGCUUCUUUUUUAGUGGUGGUAAGUGAAAGUACAUAUACAUGCAGUUUUAUUUUCUUCUGUGGCCAGAGUUCACAUCACACUAUGGGACCCCUAAAACUUUCUGCUCUGGAUCCUUAACUCCCUCCUGUUUCCAUAGAUGCUUCUUUACAAGGUCCAUAAAGUUGUCUCCCAGGCCAGACCAUUAUCUUCUGCCCACCUUAUACACACUCACACACAACACAGAACCUACUUGCAAAAUCAGUACCCAGUUUGUCUGUGAGUGCCUGAGCCCAUGCCAAGGCAGGAACCCUGAGGUUCACUUGGGGACUCAAACUGUGUAACAAAGAUUUGAAGCUGGUUUGCCAAACCACGUGCUGUUUCCACUGAAGUGUGUGUUAUGUAUGAACCCAACCUUUCCAUGAAUUUCUGGUUCAUUCCACCCCCUUUGGAAUGUCUGUGGACCAAUCAGGACCAAUGUCUGUGAGGAAGAACAAGGCAGGAUGGGAUAGCAUCCAGGGGCCUCACUGUGUGGCCUGGCCAGGGCAUUAAAAAACGAACACCAAACUUUCAACAAAAUGAGAUAUGUGAUUGUUUGCUGCAUCAACUUCAGAUUCCCUCCAUAUCUUGGGCUUGGACCUUAAGUUCUGUGUUAUGUGUGAAACCACCCUUAGAUUACCACUUUUCUGGUGACUCCUACACAUUUCCCCAUCUCCCAUUGCAAUUUCUAGCCUGAAGUAAGUGGGGAUGGGGCCAUUGUUCAGUGGUAUAGCAUCUGCUUUGCCUACAGAAGGUCCCAGGUUCAAUCUAUAGUAUCUCCAGGUAGAGGUGGGAAAGACUCUUGCCAGGGGCGUAGCAAGGUUGGAGUGUGCCCAGAGACAAGAUUUUAAAAUGCCCCCCCCCCCCCAAGUCCAGGGCCUCCACACACCCCAGGCCCCCAAGGAUUUAAGUCUGAUAUUCCAAAAUAAGUAUGCUGCCUGCAAAUACAUUUCACUGAAUACACACACACACAUCACAAUAUAUAGUGAUAUACAUUGAGUACUAUACAUCUGUAUUACUUUUAAUGCCUAGGACACACUAGAAAGAUGAAUGAUUAAAAUGGGCCCCUCGCUGCAGAUUAGCAAAGGAGACUUUCAACCAUGCAGGGUGAACCUAUGUUUGUUUUCUCAGAAUUCUGAACAAAUUCAGUCAAGUUUGAUUCCAGGAGGUUUUUCACAGGAGGCUUUUAAAGCCCUUUAAGACAUAUCUCCUCUGGAAUGGAGGUGCUGCAUUCACAUGUUGGCCAGAUUGACCCUGAAGUCCCUGCAAGUUAUUGGGGAGCAGUUCACACGCAAGAAAAAUAAAAUAAAAGCACCACACAUGCUUCACAGUUCUCACUCAGACCUUCUGGGUUGCAAAACAACUUGAACAUAAGUGCAUUUAUAAAUGAAUGAAUGAAUAAAUAAAAUUAAUAAAAUACUGUUUCUUCCAGAAGUUUUUGCAAUUUUCUGCCAUGAAACAAGCCACUUAUAGGACUUUUUAGAUAGUUUUUUUAAGUCAGCAAAUUUUCCAAGCUGUUUCAAAAUAAAUAUUCAGAGACUUCUCGGUCCCCCCCCCCAUAUCCAAGCCCUAUGGCAAGCAGAUCCCUAUAUAUGGGGCGGGGGGGCGGGAAAGGUAACCACAAAAAGGAGUUCACACUCUACCUGGAAAAUGCUGGUCUGGGUUAAGCAGGGCAGCAAGGGGUCUUCUGCUGCAGAGAACACUCUGGCUGCCUCCUCCUUCCUGGCUGGCUUGGGCCCUACUGGAGUUCAGGCCUCACUGCGGCCUACACGGAGGCCUCCGUGGAAGCCCCGCCCACCCGCCGAUCAGCUGAGAGGCGGGAGAAAAGGAGCUCUUGGCAGCUGGGCUGCUGCUUCGAUUGCGGGCCAGCAGAACAAGCAGGAGAGACGGCGAAGAGGGCAA